GGCUUAGAAGCAGCCACUCAUUAAAAGAGUGCGUAAUAGCUCACUGGUCGAGUGACUCUGCGCGGAAAAUAUAACGGGGCUAAGCAUGCAACCGAAGCUUAGGAUGUCCGCAAGGGCGUGGUAGGGGAGCGUCGUGUACGGGGUGAAGUCGCAGCGGAAGCAGCGGUGGACUGUACAGGAGUGAGAAUGCCGGAAUGAGUAGCGAGAAUUAUGUGGGAAUCAUAAUGGCCGAAAAUCUAAGGUUUCUUGGGGAAGGUUCGUCCGCCCAAGGUAAGCCGGGAGCUAAGGCGAGGCCGCGAGGCGUAGUCGAUGCACAUACGGUAGAAAUUCCGUAGCCACCGAACUUUAAACCAGAAGGACACUUUCAGAUAGCGGGACCCAGCCGUUGGUAGAGCUGGGCGCAAGGGACCGAAAUAUAGUAGGGAAGUCCGCGAUGCUGGGAGGCGAGAAAAGCUCUGGUGUACACUAAGGUGCCCGUACCGCAAACCGACACAGGUAGAUGAGGAGAGAAUCCUAAGGCCAACGGGAGAAGGGUUGUUAAGGAACUCGGCAAAUUGACCCCGUAACUUCGGAAGAAGGGGAGCCUCGAAAGAGGCCGCAGUGAAUAGGCCCAAGCAACUGUUUACCAAAAACACAGGUCUAUGCUAAAUCGAAAGAUGACGUAUAUGGGCUGACGCCUGCCCGGUGCCGGAAGGUUAAGAGGAGAGCUUAGCGCAAGCGAAGGUUUGAAUUGAAGCCCCGGUAAACGGCGGCCGUAACUAUAACGGUCCUAAGGUAGCGAAAUUCCUUGUCAGGUAAGUUCUGACCCGCACGAAUGGCGUAAUGAUUUGGGCACUGUCUCAACAGCCCGCCCGGCGAAAUUGUAGUACUGGUGAAGAUGCCAGUUACCCGCAACUAGACGGAAAGACCCCAUGGAGCUUUACUGCAGUUUAAUACUGGGAAUCGGUAAUUCAUGUACAGGAUAGGUGGGAGACUGAGAAGCAUGGCCGUCAGGUCGUGUGGAGUCACCGGUGGGAUACCACUCUUGGAUUGCUGGUUUCCUAACCUGCGGCCCUGAAUCGGGUCGGGGGACACUGUUAGACGGGCAGUUUGACUGGGGCGGUCGCCUCCAAAAGAGUAACGGAGGCGCUCAAAGGUCAGCUCAGCAUGGAUGGAAACCAUGCAAGUGAGUGCAAACGCAAAAGCUGGCCUAACUGCGAGACUGACGGGUCGAGCAGUAACGAAAGUUGGAGUUAGUGAUCCGGUGGUAUGUGAGUGGAAAUGCCAUCGCUCAACGGAUAAAAGUUACCCUGGGGAUAACAGGCUGAUCUCCCCCAAGAGUCCACAUCGACGGGGAGGUUUGGCACCUCGAUGUCGGCUCAUCGCAUCCUGGGGCUGUAUUCGGUCCCAAGGGUUUGGCUGUUCGCCAAUUAAAGCGGCACGCGAGCUGGGUUCAGAACGUCGUGAGACAGUUCGGUCCCUAUCUGUUGCGGGCGUAAGAGAUUUGAAGGGAGCUGUCCUUAGUACGAGAGGACCGGGAUGGACGUACCUCUGGUGCACCAGUUGUCCUGCCAAGGGCAUAGCUGGGUAGCUAUGUACGGACGAGAUAAACGCUGAAAGCAUCUAAGCGUGAAACUCUCCCUAAGAUGAGAUCUCUCAUCCAUUAUGGAGUAAGGGCCCAGAAAGACGAUCUGGUUGAUAGGCCGGAGGUGGAAGCGCGGUAACGUGUGCAGCUGACCGGUACUAAUAGCCCGAGGGCUUGACCUA
rnacentral:rRNA from 1 species